rnacentral:rRNA from 1 species
GACGAACGCUGGCGGCGUGCUUAACACAUGCAAGUCGAACGGAAAGGCCCUGCUUUUGUGGGGUGCUCGAGUGGCGAACGGGUGAGUAACACGUGAGUAACCUGCCCUUGACUUUGGGAUAACUUCAGGAAACUGGGGCUAAUACCGGAUAGGAGCGCCUGCUGCAUGGUGGGGGUUGGAAAGUUUCGGCGGUUGGGGAUGGACUCGCGGCUUAUCAGCUUGUUGGUGGGGUAGUGGCUUACCAAGGCUUUGAAGGGUAGCCGGCCUGAGCGGGUGACCGGGCACAUUGGGACUGAGGUACGGCCCAGAGUGCUACGGGAGGCAGGAGUGGGGAAUAUUGCACAAUGGGGCGAAGCCUGAUGAAGAAACGCCGCGUGCGGGAUGAAGGCCUUCGGGUUGUAAACCGCUUUAGCCUGUGACGAAGCGUGAGUGACGGUAAUGGGUAAAGAAGCACCGGCUAACUACGUG